rnacentral:rRNA from 1 species
UAAGGAAUAUUGGACAAUGGACGCAAGUCUGAUCCAGCCAUGCCGCGUGAAGGAUGAAUGCCCUCUGGGUUGUAAACUUCUUUUAUAGGGGAAGAAAGAUACUUUUUUUAAGGUAGUUGACGGUACCCUAUGAAUAAGCACCGGCUAACUCCGUGCCAGCAGCCGCGGUAAUACGGAGGGUGCAAGCGUUAUCCGGAUUUACUGGGUUUAAAGGGUGCGUAGGCGGGCAUGUAAGUCAGUGGUGAAAUACCGGAGCUUAACUUCGGAACUGCCAUUGAUACUAUAUGUCUUGAAUAUUGUUGAGGUAAGCGGAAUAUGUCAUGUAGCGGUGAAAUGCAUAGAUAUGACAUAGAACACCGAUUGCGGAGGCAGCUUGCUACGCAAAUAUUGACGCUGAGGCACGAAAGCGUGGGGAUCAAACA